rnacentral:rRNA from 1 species
UACGUAGGGCGCAAGCGUUGUCCGGAAUCAUUGGGCGUAAAGCGCGUGUAGGCGGUCCGGUAAGUCCGCUGUGAAAGUCGGGGGCUCAACCCUCGGAUGCCGGUGGAUACUGUCGGGCUUGAGUACGGAAGAGGCGAGUGGAAUUCCUGGUGUAGCGGUGAAAUGCGCAGAUAUCAGGAGGAACACCAAUUGCGAAGGCAGCUCGCUGGGACGUUACUGACGCUGAGACGCGAAAGCGUGGGGAGCAAACAGG